AUUGAACGCUGGCGGCAGGCCUAACACAUGCAAGUCGAACGAGUGGCGGACGGGUGAGUAAUGUCUGGGAAACUGCCCGAUGGAGGGGGAUAACUACUGGAAACGGUAGCUAAUACCGCAUACCAUCGGAUGUGCCCAGAUGGGAUUAGCUAGUAGGUGGGGUAAUGGCUCACCUAGGCGACGAUCCCUAGCUGGUCUGAGAGGAUGACCAGCCACACUGGAACUGAGAAACGGUCCCUACUCCUACGGGAGGGAGCAGGGGGGAAUAUUGCACAAUGGGCGCAAGCCUGAUGCAGCCAUGCCGAGUGUAUGAAGAAGGCCGUCGGGUUGUAAAGUACUUUCAGCGAGGAGGCGUUACUCGCAGAAGAAGCACCGGCUAACUCCGUGCCAGCAGCCGCGGUAAUAC
rnacentral:rRNA from 1 species